GAUGAACGCUGGCGGCGUGCCUAAUACAUGCAAGUCGAGCGAACGGACGAGAAGCUUGCUUCUCUGAUGUUAGCGGCGGACGGGUGAGUAACACGUGGAUAACCUACCUAUAAGACUGGGAUAACUUCGGGAAACCGGAGCUAAUACCGGAUAAUAUUUUGAACCGCAUGGUUCAAAAGUGAAAGACGGUCUUGCUGUCACUUAUAGAUGGAUCCGCGCUGCAUUAGCUAGUUGGUAAGGUAACGGCUUACCAAGGCAACGAUGCAUAGCCGACCUGAGAGGGUGAUCGGCCACACUGGAACUGAGACACGGUCCAGACUCCUACGGGAGGCAGCAGUAGGGAAUCUUCCGCAAUGGGCGAAAGCCUGACGGAGCAACGCCGCGUGAGUGAUGAAGGUCUGCGGAUCGUAAAACUCUGUUAUUAGGGAAGAACAUAUGUGUAAGUAACGGUGCACAUCUGGACGGUACCUAAGCAGAAAGCCACGGCUAACUACGU
rnacentral:rRNA from 1 species